rnacentral:rRNA from 1 species
GAGUUUGAUCGUGGCUCAGGACGAACGCUGGCGGCGUGCUUAAUACAUGCAAGUCAAACUUGCCUUGCGGUAGCAAUACUGUAAGGAGAGUGGCGCACGGGUGCGUAACGCGUAGGUAAUCUGCCUUUGGGUCUGCCAUAAUCCAGCGAAAGCUGGACUAAUAUCAGAUGAUGCAGCGGCACCACAUGGUGACAGUUGUUAAAGUUUCGACGCCCAAAGAUGAGCCUGCGUCCCAUUAGGUAGUUGGUAGAGUAAAAAGCCUACCAAGCCGACGAUGGGUAGCUGGUCUGAGAGGACGAUCAGCCACACUGGAACUGAGACACGGUCCAGACUCCUACGGGAGGCAGCAGUAAGGAAUAUUGCUCAAUGGCCGAAAGGCUGAAGCAGCAACGCCGCGUGAGGGAUGAAGGGCUUUUGCUCGUAAACCUCUGUAAAAUGGGAAAAAUAUCCUACCUUGUAGGAUUGAUUGUACCAUUAGAGUAAG